UUCCCCUUCGGGGGACAAAGUGACAGGUGGUGCAUGGUUGUCGUCAGCUCGUGUCGUGAGAUGUUGGGUUAAGUCCCGCAACGAGCGCAACCCUUAAGCUUAGUUGCCAUCAUUAAGUUGGGCACUCUAAGUUGACUGCCGGUGACAAACCGGAGGAAGGUGGGGAUGACGUCAAAUCAUCAUGCCCCUUAUGAUUUGGGCUACACACGUGCUACAAUGGACAAUACAAAGGGCAGCGAAACCGCGAGGUCAAGCAAAUCCCAUAAAGUUGUUCUCAGUUCGGAUU
rnacentral:rRNA from 1 species